rnacentral:snoRNA from 1 species
AAUCCAUGGUGAGGACAAUCACGUUCAUACUCCUUAAAACGUUCCCAAGCUUCAUAGAAAGAUUCAGUUGGACCUUGUUGAAAGGUUGAGAUCUUCGUUAUCAAAUU